rnacentral:rRNA from 1 species
UACGUAGGGUGCGAGCGUUGUCCGGAAUUAUUGGGCGUAAAGAGCUCGUAGGCGGUCUGUCGCGUCGGUCGUGAAAACUUGGGGCUUAACCCUGAGCUUGCGGUCGAUACGGGCAUGACUGGAGUUCGGUAGGGGAGACUGGAAUUCCUGGUGUAGCGGUGAAAUGCGCAGAUAUCAGGAGGAACACCAGUGGCGAAGGCGACUCUUUGGCCUGUAACUGACGCUGAGGCGCGAAAGCGUGGGGAGCAAACAGG